UACAGAGGUCUCAAGCGUUGUUCGGAUUCAUUGGGCGUAAAGGGUGCGUAGGCGGCGGGGUAAGUCUGGUGUGAAAUCUCGGAGCUCAACUCCGAAAUUGCACUGGAUACUGCUCUGCUAGAGGGCUGGAGAGGAGAUCGGAAUUCACGGUGUAGCAGUGAAAUGCGUAGAUAUCGUGAGGAAGACCAGUGGCGUAGGCGGAUCUCUGGACAGCUCCUGACGCUGAGGCGCGAAGGCUAGGGGAGCAAACGGG
rnacentral:rRNA from 1 species